GUGUGUGAUGACCUGUAGUGAUGGUGGCUGAGCAGCUGCUCUCCGAGUCUGCAGGAGCCUGAGACGCUGUAACUCCUCUGAGGACAACAGAGACGACAGGAGGAGGACGGCGUCGCCUGCAUCUUGUCCGCGAUGAUGUCAUCGGUGCUGCCGUCCAGGCUGCGUCCCCCCCGGCCGGCGACAGAUCGAUCUUUAAUCUCUCCAUCAUCUCCACGGCAGCAGACACCUGAGGGACCAAAAUCAGGCACG